GUACCUAAAAUAUUUGUUUCUUUUGUUUUGUUUUUUUUUUGUUUUGCUGGGGUUUUUUUCCCAAACAAAAUGGAGUGGACGCAAAGCUAAGAAAAGUAAUUCCCAUGAGGAGGAAUCAGACACAUAGUUGGGAAGCAGGAAUGCCUUGGCUCCUAGGAGGUACCUUCCAAAAGGCCAGAUACAAGUCCAAGUUCAGGAGCUAAACUCGGCGGAGCAGCAUGUGUCGGGGGCACACACGGGGGCAGGAGCAGCUCGGGCUGCGCCCCGGGGAGCAGCGCCUCGCUGCAGCGCUGGCACAGCCCGGGGCGGACACGCAGGGCGCAGCAGUGCCACGGCCCCGGGGAGCCGCGUUUAGCUCUCGGAAGAGCCAGUCUUGCAAACACUUACACACGUGAGCAACUUCAGCUGCCACAAAUCGACUUCUUCACCUGGUUUCAGUUUUUAAGGGGUGCUGCAUUUUAUCCUAGCCAACGUUUGAUAAAAUGGAAGAAACUCCCCUUUUCCUCACCUAGGUAACUUCUAGGUAACUAGUUACUUUCUAGGUAACUGCAUUUUUGCUGUAUUUU